UUGAUUGGGAUCAAUAUCAUCAAGCUCAAAUUAGAACAAAAUGAAGGUAAGGAAAGGCUGAAUCUCAAGAAAGAAGAUCAUGGCAAGCAAACAAUAAUUUUGACAUAAUGACAAGCAAAGUAACCUAAGCAAACUGUCAAUAUUUUUUCUUCUUUUAAACCAACAGUGAAUAAAAUUAGAAAAGAUACAUCUCAUAUUCUCAUAUGAUUAAGCAAAGUAGUAAACAACCUAUGGCUUUCCUAAUAGCAUAUCUUUUGUAGUUAGUUCAAAAUUAUAUAUUUCUUCUAUAAAAACCCGCAUAGUAAAGAACAUGACUACAUAUAUGCAUGAUGAAAUGAUAAAAAGCUAUGAAACUUUAAUCUUAUAUAUACUUAACGGUAUAGAGAUAAUUGAAUUAAGAAGAAUCAUAUGGUCAUAUUAAUAUUUAUAAUGCAAGAAAAUAAUUCACAUAAUUCUCAGACAUGAAUGAAAGAGGGAUUUAACACCUGCAAAUUAAUGAGAGAAUGAGGGGAAG
rnacentral:lncRNA from 1 species